GGCCUGUCAGAAUUGUGAAGUGGAAACUGGAAACAGAGCCAUCUAGGCUCUCAAAAGUAGCUGAGCGUAGUAGCUGACACACUCACUAGAGCGCUCAUUCCAGUUUCCAAAUCGGACCACGUUUUACCCUGAAACCGGGAUAGGGAAGCCAACACAGCCGUGAACCGACCAGGCAUCUAUAGCUUAUUAGGCAACAUCUUUCCAGGCGGACGCGACGCGUGGGCGCGUUGGCGAGUGGCGAGUUGGCGAGCGCAGACGAGUUUAUAAUUGGAACUGCAUGAGAAAUUGUCAGUUCUCAGCAGUCACUAGUCAGUCACAGUCAGCACUCAGCAGCACUCGAAAAUGAACUCUCUGCUAGUUAUGUCAGAAUUCACAGGCUCUGUUGAGAAUGUAGCGCAAGUAUGGGGUGCCGUUUUUCCCGAAUAACAGCAUAUGAAAGAGUCAAACAGUAAUCAAACAAUGAGGAAACAUAGAGCAAUCAAACACAUCUAACACGCAGCUAACACAGAUCUAACCGAAUCAAACGUGAUUUAUCGAUUAAUAAUCAAUUAAAUGAAUUGUAUGGAAAUUGAAACGAAGUAUUAAAUGAUAAAAGUUGAAAUAAAUUGGCAAAAAUAUUAUAAUUAAUUAAAGAAAACGGGAAAUAUGAUGAAUACAAUAAUUCGAAAAGUAAACAUAAAAUCAAAUGGCAACAUUUGUAUAAAACCAAUGGGCUUUUUUUAAAAUUACACCACAAAUGUUAUAAAUAAGUCACAAUGUUCUGAAACAACAAAUGAGUGCCCAUUAUUCAAUGAAAAAUGUGUAUUUAAAAUUAAACAUACAAACAAUGAGUAAUGUUUAAUAAAACAAAAGGCUUUUAAUUGUAAAUAUUCCACGAAUCUUGAAUGAAAAAUUCACAAUUUAAUAAUUUAACUGAAUGGAGUCAAUGGACAAAUGAAUGAACAGUGUUCAAUAAAAAAGUACAUAUAUUUCAAACGUGCAAUACUAUGAAACUCGGGAAAUGUAAUAAUUUAGGAAAGAAUUAUUAUUUUUCUUAAAAAAAUGUCACGGCCAUACAAGAAAUAAAAACAAAAAUGAACUAAACGUAUUAGCGUGUAUCAGCAUAGCCUAUAGCAUGCAAACCGUAUGUUGGUUUACUACGGCUUUACUAGGCGUCUAAUGAUCUACCUUAAUACCCCUCAGCUAGAUAUUCUUAUUGAAGAAAACAAUUAUAAAUUCAAAAAUGAAAAUAAAUAAAUAAAAAUAAGCUGGUUACGGAACGCAGAAAACAGACUAGUACCUUGGUAAAUGCCUUUGGCUCUACCUGGGGUCUACCUGUAAUUCGCCAACU